AAGUGGGGUUUUGAUUUGAAAUUUAUUUAGAUUUAAUUUUGAAUAAAAAUUAAUGCAAGAAUAUAAUUUUAGAUAAUAGAUACUGAAUAAUCUUCUAGAAGUUAGUCGAUCUGUUCAUUUAGUAGUCUGUGAAAGGUAAGUAAUGAAUCAUCUUCUCGAGAUAUUUCAUAUUUAUUCUAAAGUUAAAUAAUUAUUCUUUGAAAUUAUGCAUGAUUUAUGAAAUUAUGUUUUGAACGAAAAAUGAUUCUAAAAUACUAUGAUUUAUUGAUUAUGCAUAUAUUCAGUGAAAAUA
rnacentral:lncRNA from 1 species